GUCGAUCAUACUUCAUAGAAUCAUUUCUAAUAGUAUGCAUCCUCUUCUGAGUUACUCUAAGUAGCCACAGAAUCUCCAUCCUGGUUGAUGACUAUCAGCCUCGAUGUCCCGGAGUGAGGCUUUAUACGGGUGCUUCGGCGCGCGUGGCGAUGAUCUUCAGCUGACUGGUUUGCGACUUCGUGUUGCGCUGGAAGGCAGGACGUUGACGGCAAUCUGACAGGC
rnacentral:snoRNA from 1 species